AUCCUGGGGACCAAAGUUAGCAGAAGAUGAGAAGGCAAAUUCUGGCUGCCUCCAGGACACCCACUCCUGUCUCAGGACCUUUGCACUGACUGUUCUUGCUGCCUGGAUACUCUUUCCUGAGAUCUUCACAAAGUUUCCUUCAUUGCCACUUUGGGUCUUUGAACAAAUCUUGCUUUCUCUGGGAGGCCCUCCCCAUCCAUGGCCCAGCUUCUGGGGACCCAUUGUUCUUUGAGAAAGGAUUAAAGAGAACUUGGAUGGAAUGGGAGAUCCAGAGCAGCCUCUCGGUGUACAGAGGAAUCUCUACACCCAAGGUGGGGCUGGAAUUUACAACUCGGAGAUCAAGAGUCACGAGCUCUACUGACCCGCCCCUGUUGUGUUGUGUUUUAUCCAUGGACAUGGUCUGUCUCUUCACUUAUUUAACUCUUUGGUUUUGUUCAUCAGCAAGGUAUAGUUUCCUCAUACGA